GAUGAACGCUGGCGGCGUGCCUAAUACAUGCAAGUCGAGCGAACAGACGAGGAGCUUGCUCCUCUGACGUUAGCGGCGGACGGGUGGGUAACACGUGGAUAACCUACCUAUAAGACUGGGAUAACUUCGGGAAACCGGAGCUAAUACCGGAUAAUAUAUUGAACCGCAUGGUUCAAUAGUGAAAGACGGUUUUGCUGUCACUUAUAGAUGGAUCCGCGCCGCAUUAGCUAGUUGGUAAGGUAACGGCUUACCAAGGCAACGAUGCGUAGCCGACCUGAGAGGGUGAUCGGCCACACUGGAACUGAGACACGGUCCAGACUCCUACGGGAGGCAGCAGUAGGGAAUCUGACGCAAUGGGCGAAAGCCUGACGGAGCAACGCCGCAUGAGUGAUGAAGGUCUUCGGAUCGUAAAACUCUGUUAUUAGGGAAGAACAAAUGUGUAAGUAACUAUGCACGUCUUGACGGUACCUAAUCAGAAAGCCACGGCUAACUACGUG
rnacentral:rRNA from 1 species